rnacentral:rRNA from 1 species
GACGAAGGAUGCAAGCGUUAUCCGGAUUCAUUGGGUUUAAAGGGAGCGUAGGUGGUCUUAUAAGUCAGUGGUGAAAUCUCGCAGCUUAACUGCGAAAACUGCCAUUGAUACUGUAGGACUUGAGUAUAGUUGCUGUGGGCGGAAUAUGACAUGUAGUGGUGAAAUACUUAGAGAUGUCAUAGAACACCGAUUGCGAAGGCAGCUCACAAAACUAUAACUGACACUGAGGCUCGAAAGUGCGGGGAUCAAACAGG